CACGGGAGGGACGCCGGGCCCCGCGCGCACCCGGGAGGGUCCGGGCAACGUGUGUCCGGAGCUGUCGGGCAGGCGUGGGGAGAGAGCGGCUCCGGAGGCAGGAGCCCGAUCGGUCCCUUACCGAGCGCUGGGCACGUCCACCGGCCCGAGGCCGCCGCUGCCGCCGCCGGGGCCGGCUAGCACGUCCCCGCCGUAUUUCUCCUCCAUCCCGGGGAUCAGGAGCCGCCGCCGCUGCCCCCGCUGCGGAGUCUCCUCAUGUCUCGCCGCUGCCGCGGAACACCGGGCGCAGGCGCGUCACUCCCCCAUGCCAGCGGCCCCGUCGGGUCCCCGUAGGCCGGGCCGCUGCCGCUGUCCCCGGCUCCGGCUCACAAGCACACGCGCGUCGGGACUAGGCCGCGGACAGUUCCGGCGCCGCCAGGUUUCCCGGAGGCUCACCGGAUCGGACGGGGCCAGGCCACGUCAUCGGGCCCAGCAGCCCUCACUCUUGGGGGAGUGCCCGGCCCUGCGCCUGCGCACAGUACAACACUCGCCGUCCCCUCCCCUUCCUAAGGCUCUACCUACCGCUGGGCUACGGACGGAAUCCUCGCCCCGUAUCAGCUCCUCCCAUUGACGAGGCCUGAGCACAUACCUGUCCCUGCAGCGCCACCUAUGGGCUGUCAGGAACACAGCGGGUUCUUCUGGAGCGCAGGCUUUGGGUCCACACUCUUCCAUUCAAGGUAUGUGGCUACCUCUCCAGCUGUCGAAGAAGAAAAGCAAGUCAGCUGUUCACUCAGCUAUUACUCAGCAGUUCAAGGCUGAAGACAGAAUUCCGUGGCACCGCAGACUCUGGGCUGAUACUGAUUCAUAAUCAGCAUCUGUCUUUGUGAUCUCUGGGCUACAUUCCUCCAUCUUGUUCACAAGAGCUUGUUCUGUAUCCAGUGGCAGCUUAAAAAAAAAAAAAAAAAGUGAAGUUGCCUGGCUGACAACCGCUGGGUUAGCUGGGCCAAGGAAAGAAGAGGUGGUAUCCUUGGAAGGAGGCAGCCCUUUCCCACCUCCUGGAUCUCUAAGUGCAUCAGAUGAAUUUCUGCAAAGGCAUUGAUGAUGGCUUUGAGGAAUAAAUAUUGCAGAUGGAUCAAAUCAAAGAAUCAAAUUUCAAAGCUGGAUUAAGAGUCAUGGAAAAAAAGGAGAAGCAGAAAUGAGGGAAAAAGAGAAGUACAAAAGUAAAAUGAGCAGUUGAUUAUUGAAAAGAAAAUCUUCUGCUGUUUGAAUAAAGACCAAAGGGCUUUCAUUGUCAGUUUCCCACAUGGCUGUGUCUUUUUUGAGCAGCACGUCCCAAGAUCAAGAAACCAGAAAUAGACUUUAGAUUUUAGACUUUAACUAAUUAGCAGUAAUGAAAAUUUACUAAACAUCAGCAACAAAUUUACUAGGCAAUUUCAUAUCCAAAGCGUGUUGGCAUAUAUCACAGGUAAAAUGUUUUCAGAAACAUCAUUUUUAACAUAGGAUCUUAUUUGCAGAAGCUAUUUUCAUGACCUAGGGAACAAACGGUUCAUUGAAACAGAACUUUGCUGAUCUGGUUUCAAAGAAUUCUAUGAUAUGAAAAAUUCCAUGGAACAGAUGGGAUCAGAAGUCCCUGAACAGAGAACAGGCAUAUUCGGUAAUGAAAAUGUUCUUUUGGUAUAGCAUUAUGUUUUAUGUUCAAAAGUAUUAGUAUGCGAGGAACUCAGGCAGGAGCAGAAAAGAGGAAUUAGGAAUAAUACUUUAUAGGUGAAUAGGCUUUAUGCUUUCCAAAAUACUCAGACCCCACCAAAGCCCAGUAGCAAGUAUUAUCCUCCUUUUAUUGGUGAAAAACAUGCUUCUAAGAAAGAUGUAUUAGGAACUUCCCUGGUGGCGCAGUGGUUAAGAAUCUGCCUGCCAACACAGGGGACAUGGGUUUGAGCCCUGGUCCAGGAAGAUCCCACAUGCCACGGAGCAACUAAGCCCGUGAGCCACAAUUACUGAGCCUGCAUGCCACAACUACUGAAGACCACGCUCCUAUAGCCUGUGCUCUGCAACAAGAGAAGCCACCGCGAUGAGAAGCCCACACACCGCAACAAAGAGUAGCCCCUGCUCGCCACAACUAGAGAAAGCCCGUGUGCAGCAAUGAAGACCCAAUGUAGCCAAAAGUAAAUAAAUAAAUAAAUAAAUA